UACGUAGGGAGCAAGCGUUGUUCGGAUUUACUGGGCGUAAAGGGCGCGUAGGCGGCCUGUCAAGUCAAUUGUGAAAUCUCCGGGCUUAACCCGGAAAGGUCAACUGAUACUGUGUGACUAGAGUGCGGAAGGGGGCAACUGGAAUUCUUGGUGUAGCGGUGAAAUGCGUAGAUAUCUGGAGGAACACCGGGUGGCGAAGGCGGCAUCCUGGACCGGCAUUGACGCUGAGGCGCGAAAGCCAGGGGGAGCAAACGGG
rnacentral:rRNA from 1 species